rnacentral:rRNA from 1 species
UAAGAUGUAACGGGGCUAAGCCAGUUACCGAAGCUGCGGAUUCACAGUUUACUGUGAGUGGUAGGAGAGCGUUCUGUAAGCCUGCGAAGGUGUCUUGUAAAGGAUGCUGGAGGUAUCAGAAGUGCGAAUGCUGACAUGAGUAGCGUUAAAGGGGGUGAAAAGCCCCCUCGCCGAAAGCGCAAGGUUUCCUACGCAACGUUCAUCGGCGUAGGGUGAGUCGGCCCCUAAGGCGAGGCAGAGAUGCGUAGCUGAUGGGAAACAGGUUAAUAUUCCUGUACCGAUCUAUAGUGCGAUGUGGGGACGGAGAAGGUUAGCUCAGCCAACUGUUGGAUAUGUUGGUUCAAGCAUGUAGGCGUGCUCUUUAGGCAAAUCCGGAGAGCUUAGCUGAGGUGUGAUAACGAGUCUGCUUGCAGACGAAGUGAGUGAUACCCUGCUUCCAGGAAAAGCCACUAAGCUUCAGCUAUAGAUUGACCGUACCGCAAACCGACACUGGCGCGCGAGAUGAGUAUUCUAAGGCGCUUGAGAGAACUCUGGAGAAGGAACUCGGCAAAUUGACACCGUAACUUCGGAAGAAGGUGUGCCUUUAGUAGGUGAACCAUUUACUUGGGGAGCCCAAUGAGGUCGCAGAGAAUCGGUGGCUGCAACUGUUUAAUAAAAACACAGCACUCUGCAAAGACGAAAGUCGACGUAUAGGGUGUGACGCCUGCCCGGUGCUGGAAGAUUAAUUGAUGGGGUGCAAGCUCUUGAUUGAAGUCCCAGUAAACGGCGGCCGUAACUAUAACGGUCCUAAGGUAGCGAAAUUCCUUGUCGGGUAAGUUCCGACCUGCACGAAUGGCGUAAUGAUGGCCACACUGUCUCCUCCAGAGACUCAGCGAAGUUGAAAUGUUUGUGAUGAUGCAAUCUCCCCGCGGAAAGACGGAAAGACCCCAUGAACCUUUACUGUAGCUUUACAUUGGACUUUGAACAGAUCUGUGUAGGAUAGGUGGGAGGCUUUGAAGCCAGGACGCUAGUUCUGGUGGAGCCAACGUUGAAAUACCACCCUGGUGUGUUUGAGGUUCUAACCUUGGCCCGUUAUCCGGGUUGGGGACAGUGUAUGGUGGGCAGUUUGACUGGGGCGGUCUCCUCCCAAAGUGUAACGGAGGAGUUCGAAGAUACGCUAGAUACGGUCGGAAAUCGUGUUGAUAGUGCAUUGGCAUAAGCGUGCUUGACUGCGAGACUGACAAGUCGAGCAGGUACGAAAGUAGGACAAAGUGAUCCGGUGGUUCUGUAUGGAAGGGCCAUCGCUCAACGGAUAA